GGGGUGCAGCAGGCGCGAAAACUUUACAAUGCUGGCAACAGCGAUAAGGGGACCUCGAGUGCCAGGAUACAAUCUUGGCUGUCGCGAUGCCUAAAAAGCAUUGCAUAGCAAGGGCCGGGCAAGACCGGUGCCAGCCGCCGCGGUAACACCGGCGGCUCGAGUGGUAACCGCUAUUAUUGGGUCUAAAGGGUCUGUAGCCGGCCGGAUAAGUCUUUUGGGAAAUCCAGCUGCUCAACAGUUGGGCUUUCAGAAGAUACUGUUCGGCUCGAGACCGGGAGAGGUGAGAGGUACUUCAGGGGUAGGGGUGAAAUCUUGUAAUCCUUGAAGGACCACCAGUGGCGAAGGCGUCUCACCAGAACGGAUCUGACGGCAAGGGACGAAAGCUAGGGGCACGAACCGGAUUAGAUACCCGGGUAGUCCUAGCCGUAAACGAUACUCGCUAGGUGUCAGCCACGGUGCGACCGUGGUUGGUGCCGUAGGGAAGCCGUGAAGCGAGCCACCUGGGAAGUACGGCCGCAAGGCUGAAACUUAAAGGAAUCGGCGGGGGAGCACAAGGGCGAAUUC
rnacentral:rRNA from 1 species